GAGCAUUCUUUGAGGAUAAACUUUCUUAUUUAGGGUUAGAAUUUUUUUAAAUUAAGUCUAUUAAAUCCUUAUUUUUUUUUUUAAUUUUUAUUUUUAUAGAAUAAGCGACAAUUUUAUUAAAAAUCCAUGUUUUCUUAAAGAAAGUAGUCGAUUAUCGGUUGUUAGAAAAUGGAAGAAUACGUUAUAGAAUUAAUCUAAAGUUUUUUUCUUCUAAAAGUUUUUUUCUUCUAAACUCUAGCAUGGAACGUAAAUCAUAUUACCAUAGUACCAUAGUACCAUAGUACCAUGGGUGUAAAAAGAGUUUUGAUUUGUGGUGGCAAUCAAUGCAUCGAGUUUUAAAGGAGCUUAUGCUAGAUUUUUAAGGGAUUGAGAC
rnacentral:lncRNA from 1 species